UACGGAGGGGGCAAGCGUUGUUCGGAUUUACUGGGCGUAAAGCGUGCGCAGGCGGCCCGUUAAGACAGGUGUGAAAUCCCUGGGCUCAACCUAGGAAUUGCGCUUGUGACUGGCGGGCUCGAGUACGGUAGAGGGGGGUGGAAUUCCUGGUGUAGCAGUGAAAUGCGUAGAGAUCAGGAGGAACACCGAUGGCGAAGGCAGCCCCCUGGGCCUGUACUGACGCUCAUGCACGAAAGCGUGGGGAGCAAACAGG
rnacentral:rRNA from 1 species